CUUUACUGUAGCCUGGUAUUGGGUUCGGGCUUUGACUGCGCAGGAUAGGUGGGAGACUGAGAAGUGUGCCUUGUGGGGCACAUAGAGUCAACGGUGAGAUACCACUCUGUCAGAGCUAGAAUCCUAACCUUCACCCGUGAUCCGGGGAAGGAACCGUAUCAGGUGGGCAGUUUGACUGGGGCGGUCGCCUCCUAAAAGGUAACGGAGGCGCGCAAAGGUGUUCUCAGGCUGGUUGGAAGUCAGCCGUAGAGUGUAAAGGCAGAAGAACGCUUGACUGUGAGAGUGACAACUCGAGCAGGGUGGAAACACGGCCUUAGUGAUCCGACGGUAUGCGCGUGGAAGUGCCGUCGCUCAACGGAUAAAAGUUA
rnacentral:rRNA from 1 species